ensembl:lncRNA
AUUUACUGCAAGGCAUUGCUUAGUGUUCAUUUUGCAUGGCCUUGAACAGUUACAUAAAUAAAUGUACUUACUGGCGUGUUUUAAUAACCAUCAUAAUGGUGUAAAGACCACCAUUUCAACAUCUGCAGACAUAUAUUAAAAUUCAUUUACCUCAGGUACAAAUGCUUUUAUUUCCUGUUCUAUUUUAUGCCCCACAGCAUAACACUGUCACGGAACGAGACUGGAGGCGGAUGCAGGCAUGGCAGCAGGCGCCUCUCCCCCAGCCCUAGCAGCCUGAUCAGGGACCUGCAUCGCCACACCAACGUGCCUAUCUUUGAUUGUUUUAGUUGAUUAUGCACUCCUUUUUAAGGCCAGCUGUUUCUGCGCCGCUUGACAAUGCCCUCCAGCUUGGGGGAAGGAAUCCCAAAUUAUCCAGAGGGUUAGGGGGUGCAGUGCCCUGAAGCCCGGAGCCCCACAGCGGCGCUAACAUAUUCAAUGGCCUGAGGCGAGAGCCGGAGAAAGCGAGGCCGCCUGCAUACUGAUACCCAAACUGAACAGACAGUAAUUGGUGCAGUGCAGGAGAGGGGCGAGGAGGGCAUGCAUGGAAAGAUGAUGCCUUUGUUUCUCUGUGUGUCUGACACCCAGACUCCUCCUCCUCCUCCUCCUGCCAUCAUCAUCAGCCUACCCCCUCCUUCGCACACACACCUCUCCUUCACACUCAAAGUACUUGCUAAUUGGUCUCUUGCUGGCUGCCUAAAGACCCGUGGACAUUCCACUAUUCUUGCUUUGUGCAGGAAUAUGUGUUAUGUCUUAACUUGACAUGGUGGAGUUUUAAGACUAUUCGUAGUGUGUAGCCUGUGGUAACUGGAACUGUAUAAUUUUUGCCAAAAUGGUUAAUGUUUUAUUAUAUAUGUGCAUUUUACCAA